rnacentral:rRNA from 1 species
AACGAACGCUGGCGGCAUGCCUAACACAUGCAAGUCGAACGACACCUUCGGAUCUAGUUGCGCACGGGUGCGUAACGCGUGGGAACCUUCCCUUAGGUUCCGAAUAACUCUCCUACGGGGGGGCUAACGCAGGGAAACUUCUGCGAACAAAGCAUUCGUCCCCUUGGUGUGGGCCGGGGUUCUUAAGACCGUUCGCUAUGGGAAGAGCCGACGACGGAUUCGCUCGUUGGCAGGGUAAAGGGCUACCAAGGCGACGAUGCGUAGCUGGUCUGAGAGGAUGAGCAGCCACACUGGGACUGAGACACGGCGCAGACUCCUACGGGAGGCAGCAGUGGGGAAUAUUGCACAAUGGGGGAGAGCCUGAUCGAGUACUGGCGGGUGAGUGAUGAAGUCGUUAGAGUUGUAAAGCUCUUUUACCCGGGAUGAUAAUGACAGUACCGGGAGAAUAAGCACCGGCUAACUCCGUG